rnacentral:rRNA from 1 species
GCAUAGCCGUAAACAUUGAUGCCAACGAUACAUCUACCAUCCGCCAGGGUACUACAAGCAUAAGCUCAAAACCCAAAGGACCUGGCGGUGCUUUACAACCAACUAGAGGAGCCUGUUCUAGAACUGAUAAUACCCACUUAACCUCACCCUUUUUUGCAAACCCAGCCUAUAUACCGCCGUCGUCAGCUUACCCCGUGAAGGGCUCAUAGUGAGCAAAAUUGGUAAAACCCAAAACGUCAGGUCGAGGUGUAGUACAUGAAAGGGGAAGAAAUGGGCUACAUUCGUUUAUUAACGCACCACGAAUGACAUGUUGAAAAUACAUGCCUGAAGGUGGAUUUAGUAGUAAGAAGAAAUUAGAACAUUCUUCUGAAAACGGCCCUAAAGCACG